GCCCAGCUGAGCACUGGUGCUCCAGUGUGCAGGCUUCAGACAUGUAGCUGACUAGCGUCAGAGUGGUUCAAUUCAGCCUGCUGGGCG